UACGAAGGGGGCUAGCGUUGCUCGGAUUGACUGGGCGUAAAGGGCGCGUAGGCGGUUCGUACAGUCAGACGUGAAAUUCCUGGGCUCAACCUGGGGGCUGCGUUUGAUACGUGCGGGCUUGAGUGCGGAAGAGGGUCGUGGAAUUCCCAGUGUAGAGGUGAAAUUCGUAGAUAUCAAGCAGAACACCUGCGGCGAAGGCGGCCUUCUGGACGGUGACUGACGCUGAGACGACGAAAGCGAUGGGGCAAACAGGGG
rnacentral:rRNA from 1 species